UACGGAGGGUGCGAGCGUUGUCCGGAAUCACUGGGCGUAAAGGGCGCGUAGGCGGCCCGUUAAGUGGCUGGUGAAAUCCCGCGGCUCAACUGCGGGGCUGCCGGUCAUACUGGCGAGCUAGAGCACGGUAGGGGCAGAUGGAAUUCCCGGUGUAGCGGUGGAAUGCGUAGAGAUCGGGAAGAAUACCAGUGGCGAAGGCGUUCUGCUGGGCCGUUGCUGACACUGAGGCGCGACAGCGUGGGGAGCAAACAGG
rnacentral:rRNA from 1 species